rnacentral:rRNA from 1 species
UUUAUGGAGAGUUUGAUCCUGGCUCAGGACGAACGCUGGCGGCGUGCCUAAUACAUGCAAGUCGAGCGGAUCUUCUUGAGUAGCUUGCUACUCAAGAAGGUUAGCGGCGGACGGGUGAGUAACACGUAGGCAACCUGCCCAUAAGACCGGGAUAACAUUCGGAAACGAAUGCUAAGACCGGAUACGCAGGACUGGGGCAUCCCGGUUCUGGGAAACACGGUGCAAGCUGUGGCUU